UACGGGGGGGGCAAGCGUUGUUCGGAAUUACUGGGCGUAAAGGGCUCGUAGGCGGCCAACUAAGUCAGACGUGAAAUCCCUCAGCUUAACUGGGGAACUGCGUCUGAUACUGGAUGGCUUGAGAUUGGGAGAGGGAUGCGGAAUUCCAGGUGUAGCGGUGAAAUGCGUAGAUAUCUGGAGGAACACCGGUGGCGAAGGCGGCAUCCUGGACCAACACUGACACUGAGGAGCGAAAGCCAGGGGAGCAAACGGG
rnacentral:rRNA from 1 species